ACUAAGCGUCAGGCUUGUGCUAGGAGUAGGUACGACCUUUCUGUUUUCAGUCCACUCCUUUACUGGUUGAGCUAUUGAGGCUCUGAGCUAUUGAAUUGAUAUUAAAUAGUAAAUAUUGUUCUAAAGUUACUCUUCUAUCAUAAAGCAAUUUAUAGAAUUGCAAUAGAAAAAUAAUAAAGUGAAAUUUACACUAAUAUAUUAGAUAAAAAAAUUGGAAUAGCAAAAUUAUAGUGAUAAAAUGUCAAUAAAAAUUAGAGAAGUAAGUGUUAGUCCUCAGUAGUAGUGGUAGGUUUAUUUAAUAAAUCAGAAAAACCAAUAGGGAUAGAAGGAAAUUAAAUUGAAAAAUAUAUUAUAAACACAAACACAAUUUAUUUCAUUAUUAAAUUGCCGGAAAUGUCAAACAGAAUAUAAUGUUUUAACCAAUGUAAAUUUGUAAAUGUUAAAACUCAUUUAAAACUGUAAAUUUGAUAUAGAAGUUAAAAUCGGUUUUUACACAAAAUACACAAAAAAAAAAAUCAUUAUCUAGUCAUCAUAUAACAAUCGGAAAUUAUAACAAAACAGCCAAUAAGAGUAAAUGAAAAUUAAUGAUUAUAUUAUUAUUAAAAUUGCAUGUCCAAUUGUAACCUUAACGUAAACUUAAGCUAAGAUCCGAUAUCCUCGUAACUCUUUGGGACAAUGAAGAAAAUAACAAUGUAAUGUAACAGCAAUAGGGAUGAUGACUACUAGUCAAAUCAGUGACUUUUUAUCAAACGACAAAACGGUCGCUUAGUAAGGGAACUUGUAUGAAAUUUACAGAUGUGAGUCAUAAACAUCUAACAUAAUUUGACGUACUUUUUUAGUUAAAUCUAUAAUUUUAAAUGGUUAGCAAACUUGUGGAUUUUACGAAUUUCGGAAGAACCGCCAUUUAAUAAUUCCUAAGAAAUAAUUUAUUUUUGACAUAGGCAUCAUCCCAAUUUAUCGUCACCACUCUUAGGGGAAUCAACAUGUGGAACCAAUCAAUUUGACAGUUGGCAUAGAUGGUAGCAUCUUUAAACAACCAGAGCUGGUGGCUAUGAUGAAUAUCAAAGGAAGUGUUAGGGCCUGCACUCAAUGACAGCACGGCAGGGGAUUUUUAUGGGACGAACUAAACUUUAAUGUAGUAAAUAUAGGUAACUACCUGACACCGCACCACCACUGAAUGGAGACACCGCGGUGUCACCAUUGUGAAGAGGUCCGGGACUCCGGAUAGCACACGCUCGAAGAGUGCCCUGCUUGGAAGACGUUCGACUAGAAGACGUUUAUCUUCAGCUAUUUUUGCUUUUAUUUUACUAGCGACUCUGCUGCUGACUUUUAUUUUUCUUCUACGAGCUUUCAUCGAAUUAUUACGAUUUGUAUUUGGCUUAUAUCCAUUUAUUAUUAAAAAAAACCUAAGAAUAAUGCGUAUUACUUUAAAAUCUGUAACCUGAAAGAAAACCAGCUGUGCAACAAACGAAGUGCAGAAAAGAUAUUGCGAAGAUGGAGUAAAGUUUUGUUUUCUGAAUGUAGGCAAAGAUUUAUUUAUUUUCAGUUCAGCCAUGUAAAGCGGCGCAGGGACAGCACCCGGUGCAUAUGGCAAAUGGCAUGGACGGGAUCAGGGACGGGUGCAACGUAAGAGGCGAGUACGAGAAGUAAAAAUGAGAGUGCUAAGCUGGAAUAUAGGAACGAUGACUGGAAGAGGAAGAGAGCUGGCAGGUGUUGAGAAAGAUUAGAAAGAAGAAGAAUAAAUGUUGUCUGUUUGCAACGAAGUAGAACGGUACGAAAGCGAAGGAAAUUGGGGAUCAAUAUAAUUUUUCUACAGUGGGAGUAACGAUGACCUAAAAAUGGCGUAGAAUAAUUGGUAUUAGAUAAAGAGUUCUUAGAAAGAGAGAUGUGUAGGUCUCUUGAAAGCCCCCAACGCCAAAAGAUUUAUCCCGGCUAGCAGAGUGAAAAGAAAAAUACGAGUGGUAUUAACCCCAUUAAAUGCAUUAAAGAUAGUGAAAAGAAAGUUUUAACGAAUGACGAGGGCACAAAAGACCGUUGGAGAGAAUAUUUUAAAAAGUUAAUGAAUGAAGAGAAUGCGUAGAGAGUUAGAUAAUGUACCAACUGACUUGGGUAUGGUGAAACGACCGACGCCGCUGCAUGCACAAGGAUACCACAGCAUAGUUGCCGUCGGUAGGUGCGUUUGCGUAUAAUGGUGCCGAACGAUUCCGUGCCGUCAGUGGGCGCAAACCCUUACGCCUAUACGUCUUUAGUACGCCUACUCAUUCGCAACGAUUAGCGCUUCGACUACGGCCUAAAGGCCGAUAUGCGUGCGAAUGCGUCGGUAUGCUGAAUACGUUACGCUGCAAUUUCAUCUAUCAGUCUUGUAAUAACUACUAUCAAUUUCAUAUUCGGAAUAGUUUUAACUUAUGUUUAAUAAUGGUAAUUAAUUGUAUUCCAAAAGAAAUAAUUUAAAAUAUUUUGAUUAUAUUAUUUGCUAGAGGGGCCGAAAUGGUGGGGACAAAAGAGUAGGUGUUUAACUUUAAAAAUAUAUGUUUGGUGUUGUUCAAUUCAUCGUCACAACACGCACAUUUAAACAUUCAACUUGCCCCGAUAUCGGAUCUGAUAUAUUGGAAACGAAAUUGAUAGUUCUCAUGUUAAACCCCAUUAUAGAAAACCAAAUUAGGUCAGAAACACAUGUAAUUUGUCACCCUACCUCACGCCACGUCACGCGUGUUAAAACGUGAUAAAACCACAAACACCCGACGCGACAUAUAACGGACAGACAGACAGCGUAUUCAAAGCGCACUGGAAUUCUGCUUUAGUUUGCACCUAGACUAAGGUUGAGACAUAUAGAGCGCACUUUGAUUUUACUCAGACUUAAGACACUGUUAAAACGAGACAGCGUUAUACCGCUGGCAUAAAUCUGUCUCGUUUUAACUGAAACUUAAGUCUAAGCAAAGUCAAAGUCCGUUCUUUAGAUUUCAACGCGCUUGCUCGCUACUGAUUGGUUCGAGAGGCACACACACUUACGCAAUGUGCUUGUAUACGCCGUAAUCAGAAUCAAAAGGUAUAACACAUUUUAUUUGUAUUUGCUAAGAUAGGCUAAAAUUGUUACCAACACAAUUUUACGGAUCUGUUGUUGUAUUUAUAUAAAACUAGAUUAUGCCCGUGACUUCGUCCGCGUUUUCAAACCCCUAUUUCCAAAAUCUCAGCCUGAUCUGUGCAGCAGUUUAAGCUUUGCCUUGCUCGGUCAGUCAGUAAGAUGGAAGCGGAAUAAACUGGUAGCGGUAACAACGUUGCUAAAGUAGCUUGUAGAUAAAUAUAUCGUAAAUAUCGUCCAUACGGCCAAAAAAUUAAGAAAAUCAAAGUGUGCUGUGUAGGUCGUCUAAUAGAGAUCAUAGAAAACCCUGGCUGGCUCAAAUUACGUGACGUAGCGUGGGGUGGGGUGGCGUAGCGUUUUACAAGUGUUACCGACUCAUUACUAAGAACUAUAAUAAUGUAAUGGUAUUGAAUUGGUAUCGAAUGGGUACAAGGUAAUCAAAGUAAAUUGUGGAUUUAUACAACUAAACGGUUCUUAAACACUAACAUUAUUAUGACAUUAUUAUGCAAAGUUCAGCCAUGGACUUACGAAGUAGUUACGUAGAGCAGGAAAGCUUUCUCUCAAAUCACGAUUACCAAAAAACCAAUUUUGAAUUGCAUGAAACUGCUUUUCAUUUAAUCAUUAUCAAAUCAUUAAUCAAAUCAAUUUUACCGUGGGCCGAGGUAGAACCCGAAUACACCCGAGUAAUGUCGAGAGCAAAAGGUUUUUUAUAAUAUUAAAUUUUGCCCCAUCGUUUUGUUUUUCGAGCUCAAUAUUUAAAAAGAUCAUAAUCAUAAACAUUAAAGGGCUCCGUUAAGAAUUAGUGUUUCUAUUUCGCUAUAAGUUUUCACAUCUCACCAACGUUGAUAGAAAUCGAAUGCUGAAACAAUAACGUCUAAGUAAAAUAGACCUAAGGACAAAAAUUUAGUAAAUCCAAUUUUAAUUUCACAAGGUUUUUACUGUAGAUGUAUGGACGAACUUGAGCUUUAAAACCAGUAAGUUACCGUUCAUAUUCUUAUAACGCUGAAGUGUUUCAACGCUCGACUUCUAUCAACGUUGGUAAAAUAUAAAAUCUAAUACUGUGUAUACUGUAACUAAUAGCCUUCCAUUUCUACAUAAGUUCAUCCUAACUCCAUGGCCUGAGCCUCCAGUGUAAGCUUUCAAGUUAACUGACGUGACAGUGAAGUCAUCAUGGAGAUGCCAGUGGUUUAGUAUAACUCCAAGUUAACGUUAAGUGUCAUUUAGUACAACUAAUCUGUUAUUUAGUAUGGAGACGUUUUUUCGUAUAUUUACCACCCAUACUAAAUGAAAGAUUUACGAACAUUUUACGAAUAUAAGAUUUUACAUCUCAGCAAUGUUAAUAGAACUUGAACGUCGCAACAUUUUAGCGUCAAAUAAAAUCGAGACCCUUAACUGCCUUGUUUUAAAGGUCAAGUUCAUCCAUACAUCUAAUGCCAGCGGUCUAAGCGGAAACGUUGCGAAAUGAAAAUCGUUUGUACUAAUUUUUUUAACUUUAAAUCAAGGAACAUCAGGUAUAUUUUACUCUGGCGUUAUUUUGUUCCAUUCGUUCGAUUUCUAUUAACAUUGUUGAGGAGUAAAAUCUCAUACAAAGGACGCUGAUCGCGAGUAUCCAGUAUACAUGUUAAAUACAUGAAUGACAAAACGUCAACGCAUGUGCCACGUUAGCUUACUUGAAAGCUUGCACCAGGGCUCGUCCGGUUACCUGGUGGGUAAACUUUGUAAUAGUUUCUCGAUAAACUAGUCUUAACAAACUAACUAUACACUCGCAACUGCUAUGCUAUUAUAAUAAAGAUCGGAUCAAAUAUUCUACGAGAUUUUGCAAUAUUACCUAUAUUAUUGUGUUGAAUAUUUUCUCCAAUAAAUAAACACCGCUAAAAAUGACGAUACUUGAUAAGCGUUAUUCGUUUACAGGACAUAAUUGUUAUA